AACGAUGUGGUCUAGCGGUUAGAACGCUGGCCUUGUAAUCCUGGGGUCUCGGGUUCGAUUCCCGGCGGUGCCA
rnacentral:tRNA from 1 species